rnacentral:lncRNA from 14 species
AGGACCAGCCACCCUCUUCAGAGCUGAAACCUGGAGGGGUCAGGCAGGGGUCACAAAAGAGCCCACUACUGGCUGGUGCUAGGUGUUUUGGUUGUGCCUCCCUGCUUCAAAAGAGAAAUUAAAACAAAUCUACCCGAAAACAUGCCAAGUUCAUUAAAACUGAUUAGGAGAGGGAAGAAGAAAACAAUCUGCUACUCCUUGCCUGAGCACGACUGGGCCAAAGAAAGCUAAACAGAGAAAACACAGAGAAAUGCCCCGGGCAGGUCUCCCCACCCAAAUACAAGUACCAGAGCAGAGAGGUAUUGGGCCCCGUUAGGUCUCCCCACCCAAAUACAAGUACCAGGGUGGAGAGCUACAAUGCCUCCCUGAUCUGAGACAUAAAGGGGCAAGAGCAAGGAGAUUCCUGAGGGGAAGGGUGGUAUUCAAAUUCUGAAAGCAUGGAAAAUAUUAUUAGCAGACGGAGGUCUGGGCCGGGCGAGGCGGCUGGCAGGGGCUCUGCCAUCAUUGCUGGUCUAGGUAGGCAGACAACAGAAGCUCAGGAGGCACAGCUUCCUCUCACAGAGAGAAACCCACCCGGAGAGCCGAGCAGUCCAUGGGUUGCCAUAGAAACCAUCACCACAGCAGCUCCAAGCAGGAAGCAGGGACAGGUA